GUUGAAGAAGCAGCCAGCCUCAGUAACUAGUGAUUUUAUUCAAUCACCAGUAAUCCCAAAUGUAGAAGAUGAAACUUGUUUCAUUCAGCAACAGCUAAGAAACCAGAAACUUAAACCCAAAAGUCGCAGAUUUACGUUAAAAGAGAAAUUAUUGUCUCUAACACUUUUUAAGGCCAGUGCGAAAGCAUACCGCUUAUUAUCCAAGAUUUUUUGUUUGCCGUCACCUGGGACAUUAAUUAAUUUAUUAAAUAAAAUUCCACUCCGCCCUGGCUUGAAUAAACGCCUAAUGGACAGUUUCAAGCAGUCAGUGGCAAAAUUAAAAGAAAACGAUGAACAAGAUGAAGGUGUCAUUGAUGGCGCAAGUGUUCAGUUUUAAAGUGGGAUCCUUGAUGAAACGCAUUUCACAAUGGGGUCUUCAGUGUGACAACAGCUUACCUGCUGAAGCAGUGUAAACUGCAGAUUUCAUCUUGUUUAUGGAUAUGUUAUUUGACAGCCUCAAUGGUAAUGCAAAACAAGCGCCAGUAAGUAAACCAUUUAAAGGAGGGGUUUCGACUGAUUCUGGACAUAAAAAGUGGUGGGAAGAAUCUGUGAAAGUAAUUAAAUCAAUGCGUUUUUGGAAUAGUAAAAAGGGCAUAUAUGUAAAAGUCCCAUCGACCAAAAAUUUAGUUAAAACAAUUGAAGGUUUCUUGUAUUUACGAACAAGAUUGUUGACGCGAGUAAAGUACUUUUUGCCAGGUGCUUUGAAUCAAGAACACAGAUUUGUGAUCUUGAAAUGUUAUAUUAUGUUGAUAUAGUUCAAAAGAAAAAUAUAUUUGUAAUCAAAGUAUCGACGCGGCGGCACUGGAUCGAGCGUCUGAAACAUCAUUCCGCCCGUUGAUAAUAAGACAAAUUUGAUAUUAUCGUUAUCUCUUUUUUAUUAUCAACUUUUAUACAAUUUAUAUCACAAUAAAUUAGACUGUAUUGAUUUAAUAUAUAGUUCUGUUUUAUACUGAUUCUAGCCGUACAAACAUCUCAGUUUGCUUUUCAGUUUCGGCUAUGUCUAAUUUAUUCAACAAAAUUGCACAUUUAUAUGAUAUUAAUUUAGAUUCUAG